GAGUUUGAUCCUGGCUCAGAACGAACGCUGGCGGCGUGCUUAACACAUGCAAGUCGAACGUGAUCCAGAGCUUGCUCUGGUGAAAGUGGCGCACGGGUGAGUAACGCGUGGAUAACCUGCCCUGGUAUCUGGGAUAACAUCUCGAAAGGGGUGCUAAUACCGGAUAAGCCUACGGGCUCUUCGGAGUCUGCAGGAAAAGGAGGCCUCUAUUUAUAAGCUUCCGUAUCAUGAUGGGUCCGCGUACCAUUAGCUAGUUGGUGGGGUAAUGGCCUACCAAGGCGACGAUGGUUAGCUGGUCUGAGAGGAUGAUCAGCCACACUGGAACUGAGACACGGUCCAGACUCCUACGGGAGGCAGCAGUGGGGAAUUUUGCGCAAUGGGGGAAACCCUGACGCAGCAACGCCGCGUGAGUGAUGAAGGCUUUCGGGUCGUAAAGCUCUGUCAGAGGGGAAGAAAUGAAACGUGCUAAUAUCACGUUUUCUUGACGGUACCCUCAAAGGAAGCMCCGGCUAACUCCGUGCCAGCAGCCGCGGUAAUACAASSSYUSYMWWWWMGURSSWMGMAYUAUUU
rnacentral:rRNA from 1 species